rnacentral:rRNA from 1 species
UACAGAGGUCUCAAGCGUUGUUCGGAUUCAUUGGGCGUAAAGGGUGUGUAGGUGGCGCGCUAAGUCGGGUGUGAAAUUUCGGAGCUUAACUCCGAAACUGCAUUCGAUACUGGCGUGCCUGAGGACUGGAGAGGAGACUGGAAUUUACGGUGCAGCAGUGAAAUGCGUAGAUAUCGUAAGGAAGACCAGUGGCGAAGGCGGGUCUCUGGACAGUUCCUGACACUGAGGCACGAAGGCCAGGGGAGCAAACGGG